UACUAUAUAGUUCAGGCUUACCUUAAACUCACUAUGUAACCUAGGCUCUUCUUCAACUAGAAGGGAUCCUCCUUCAGUCUCCUUCCUCACAGUAUAUCAGUGUGCACCACUGUGCCUGGCUCCUGUGUGUUAUUUCCUAAACCACUGGUUAUAGAUCAAUAUUUGUCCCUAUGAGGAGACUCAGGCUGGAGAAGUGAUGAAAUGAUUGCAAAGGUGAAGGACUGCCUAGAGCAACAGUACAGGGACCCUAAAAUGAUGGUUACAGUUGAAAGCUGGCCUGCAGGGCCAUAGCCAAGCAGUAUCAGAAACAGGCUAUCCUCAGGUAUGUUUGUUUCAGCCACUGUUCUCUGCAUAUCCGAUGGCUUGCUUAGAUUAGAUCAAAAUGAGUCCUGUAGCACUCCGCUCUGUCCUUUCCUGUCCCCUGACCUGAAUUCCUGCACAGAUGUCUGUCUUUCCUCUCACACCUUGAGUUAAGAAUAAAAGACAAGAGCUUCUCAGCUCCGUGCUGCUUCCCUGAGGCUUUCUCAUGCUGAAGGAGCCUUGGCAGGAUAGCCCCUCUGGGCCUGUUGGAGUUUGAACUGGACUUUGAGUAAUCUCAUCCUCUGCACUGCCAUGGUCAUACACAUCGACAAGUGCUUCCUCAUGUGAGGUCUUUUCUGAAGUUCAUCCUAGAAGAUCGAUCUCCCAGAGCCUGGAAAAGGAACAAGGAUGUCCGAUUCUUCAUUAUGGUUCCCAAGAAUGCAGUUCCUCCAUAUUGUGUGGCACCAAUUGACAAGCAGCUUGGAGAAGAUGGUACUUCCACUCUGGGGAUAGUCAACAAGAAGAGCAAAGUGAAUGUGUUGCCAUCUACAACACGGUCAUCAAUACCCACCUGGGGAGAGAUUAAGCAGCUCACUGCUCAAGCCAAACGAAUAGUGCAGAGCACUGGCACACCUCUCACACUAGAAAACCUCUUUCUGGCAAUGAUAGCACAAGUCACCUAUAAUUCUGCAAAGCCCUUAGAGCACUUUGUGAGCUGUUCCAAUGGACCCUCUGUGCAGAAGCCAUGAUGACCUUCAUAUGUCAAGCACAGUACCCCUCAACCCUGUAUUCGCCACCUUCUGCUCAAAACCUGGACUAUAAAACAAAAGAUGAUUCAGGCUGGAGAAAUGAUGAAAUGAUUGCAAAGAUGAAGGACUACCUAAAGCAACAGUACAGGGACCCUAAAAUGAUGGUUACAGUUGAAAGCUGGCCUGCAGGGCCAUAGCCAAGCAGUAUCAGAAACAGGCUAUCCUCAGAUAUGUUUGCUCCAGCCACUGUUCUCUGCAUAUUCGAUGGCUUGCUUAGAUUAGAUCAAAAUGAGUCCUGUAGCACUCCGCUCUGUCCUUUCCUGUCCCCUGACAUGAAUUCCUGCACAGAUGUCUGUCUUUCCUCUCACACCUUGAGUUAAGAAUAAAAGAC